CAUAAUCCGUUGGCGUUUUUGUUUCGCUUACGAUUGCCACUAAAUUAAGAGCGCUGCCUGACAAAAGCUCAGACGGAUUUUAAUAUAAAGAAUGACAAAUUCAAUAAGAUAAAACGCGGAAGAACGUUAGUAAAAUUAGAAGCGAUUAAUGCUAUAAUAAUGACCACAAUAUCGUGGGAUAAAACUAAUUUCGAGCGUCAAU